CUCUGCAUCCUUGUGUAAGUUCUGCAGGUCUUUCAGGUUCUGCUCGUUGGCCUGAGAGAUAGUGAUGUUCUCCAUCAGAUCUGUAAAUGAGUUGAGCUGGCUGUUCAUAUCCUCCAGGGUGUUGUUGUUGGCUUUGGCCAAAGCAGAAUUAUUGGUAGCCAGCAUCUGCAAGCUUUGCACUUCCUCCUUCAGUCAAUCUGUGUCCUUCUUGGCUUGAAGAAAAACCUGCUGCAGAUUUUGAAAGUCAUUCUUGAUUUGCUGGAUAGCCUGGCUUGUGUCAUCCACAGACCGCUGCAGAUUCAUGAUGAGGUUCCUCUGCUGUACCUGGGUCAGGUUCAGGUUGUUGAGGUUCAUGAUGACCACGUUAUGAGAAUACAUUUGGUUCUGCAGAUUACCCUGGAGCACACUGGUAUCUUGCUGCAGAUUCGUGACAUAGCCAUUGUACGCCUGGAGGGUUUUGUUUACAGUGGUGAUGAGGGAAGUUAUUCUCCAAAGUUUCUUUUAGUUGACUCCCUGUCCACCAGUGCAUCCCUGGUAGCCUGUAACUUCUCCAGCAUAUCCUUGUUCUUGCUAGUUUUUUUUCCUGUAAUCUCACGAAGUUGCUGACGAAUAUCUAGAAUGUCUGAUCUGAAGGUAGAGAGUUCUGAGUUGGUGUUAAUAGCUUUCUUCCCAGUUUAGUCACCUAAUUUUUUCAGGUCACUUUCCACUGCUAUGAGCUUGUCAUCAUAGGUUUGGCGAGAUGUCUCCAUGCCACCUGUGACAUUAUCCAUUUUCUCUACAACUUUAUAUCCCAAAAUGGCUACUGUGAUUGUUAGCAAGGCACACAAAAUGUGUAAUAAUAUGAUAGAAAACUUCAGUGCCAGUUAUUUUUACGUUUGGUACAUUGUGUUCCUUCCUGAAUACCAAACCACUUGUAACCGAAGGACUGCACCUCCUCCUCCUCUGCGAAGUCGCCUUUCAUGGUGACGGAGGGGACGCACCUCCAGCCAGAGAGCUCCGCGCGAGCGCCACGCCGCUGCCGAGAAAGUUGUCCUGAGAGGCCACUCAUUGCAUGCCCAUGGCAGCUGCACCGCCAGCCGGUUGUCUGCGCCCAGGCCCUCCCUCGCCGUCGCCAGCCCGCGCUCCCAGCCAGCGUGUAAGUAUUUUUAAUACUAAUUAAUGAUAGAAAACCUGAAGACCUUGACAGCAUCUGAGAUUUUGUGAUUUUUAAUGAUUUAGAAAAAACAGAAACAAUCCUAAUAAUUGUCUUCCUCUUCCCAUCCCCUUUCUGGACAUGGUGGAGUGCUUUAACACACAGGACUGGAAGAAGAGAGAAAGAGCCAUCAGGAGGAGGAGGAAGAGAUGUAGACAGCAAAGGAGGAGAAACGGAAGCAGGAGUGCGGAAAGGGAGCAGGGAAAGAGGAAGAAGAAAGAGGAGGAGGAGAAGAAGAAUCAAAAAGUAGAACAGAUCCAAUUGAGAACUAAAAAUCACACUCGGUCUGGGAGGGGCGGGGGAGAGGAGUAGGUGGCCAGAGGCUGUGUACCCUGACCCUUGGACUGCCUGAGACCCCGGCAUCCCCAAGGCACCUCCAAAGAUGAUGGGGUGUGGGGACUCAGAGUUGGAGUCGGUGGACGGGGAAGAAGCCGCGGCGGUCCCGGGGCCACCCCCGGAGCCCCGAGUCCCGGAACCUCGACCCCCGGUGCCCGAGCCCGGCCUGGACUUGAGCCUGAGUCCGCGCUCUGGCAUCCCUGAGCCGCGGCACGGCAGCCCUGGGCUGCGGAAGAGGCGGGCGGAGCGGCGGGGCGCCGGUCGGCAGCGGCGGCAGGUCGGUUUCCGCCGGGCACCACCUUCCCCGGUGCGGUCCGAGCCACAGCCCGCGGCGCCGCAGGAGCUAGAGAUGGCCGCGCUGCAGAGCAGCCUGGCCUUGGGUCUGAGAGCCGCAGCCGUGCGGCGAAAGCCGUGGAGGAACAGCUGAAAAAGUCGUUCCAGAUCCGCUGCGGCCUGGAGGAGAGCGUGUCCGAGGGGCCGAACAUGCCGCGCUCCAAGAGGCUCUUCCGAGACCUGGUGAGCCUGCAGGUGCUGGAGGAACCGGUUCUGAAUGCCUCGCUCGGGGAGAAAUUGGCUCUCCUGCCGCCGCAGUCUCAACCCCGCCCCAAAGGAGCCACCUCGGCCAGGGCCAGACAUGACCAUCUUGUGUGACCCAGAAACACUAUUUUAUGAAUCUCCACACCUGACCCUGGACGAUCUGACCCCUCUCCGGCUUCAGCUCCGGCCCCGCCCUUCAGAGGACACCUUCCUCAUGCACGGGACACUGAGGCGUUGGGAAGCGUAGACCCCAACCAUCCUUGGAGGGCUAGUUCGUAUUUUUGUGUUAAACUAUUUGUCAGAAUAAAGUAAUUUUGCUAAUAAAAAAAAAUCACACUCAACUGUUCUGAUGAAAACGGAACACUUCUGUAAAUUCAAAUGAAGCAGCCACCACUGAGGCACAGAUAAAUGUGCGGUUUUUUUUACCAUGUGUAGAAAUGCAUGAGGCAUGGCAGUUAUCGCCUUCCAGAAAGAGAGCUUAUUUAGAAAAGUAAACAUUCUAGAUAACAAUGAACAGGAGUUAGCCUGAGAUAGGAUAACUUAAAAUGCAAUAUUCAGUGCUUUGUCAGAGGAAGAGAUGAGAUGCAAUGAGAUGCAAUCACGCAGUAAAGGAAGAUAACAAGAAAACCUUGCACUGCAGGAAGUUUCAUUCAUCUACCUGCGUUCUUCCU